GAUGAACGCUGGCGGCGUGCCUAAUACAUGCAAGUCGAGCGAACGGACGAGAAGCUUGCUUCUCUGAUGUUAGCGGCGGACGGGUGAGUAACACGUGGAUAACCUACCUAUAAGACUGGGAUAACUUCGGGAAACCGUAGCUAAUACCGGAUAAUAUUUUGAACCGCAUGGUUCAAAAGUGAAAGACGGUCUUGCUGUCACUUAUAGAUGGAUCCGCGCUGCAUUAGCUAGUUGGUAAGGUAACGGCUUACCAAGGCAACGAUGCAUAGCCGACCUGAGAGGGUGAUCAGCCACACUGGAACUGAGACACGGUCCAGACUCCUACGGGAGGCAGCAGUAGGGAAUCUUCCGCAAUGGGCGAAAGCCUGACGGAGCAACGCCGCGUGAGUGAUGAAGGUCUUCGGAUCGUAAAACUCUGUUAUUAGGGAAGAACAGAUGUGUAAGUAACUGUGCACAUCUUGACGGUACCUAAUCAGAAAGCCACGGCUAACUACGUG
rnacentral:rRNA from 1 species